GUGGAAUUAGUUUAUGUGUAAAAUGUCAAGUUGUGGUGUUGGCGAAGGGAUAACCAUUUCAUA
rnacentral:tRNA from 1 species